CAAAGCCCGCCCCCCGCAGCGACACACUUCCUCCAACAAGGCCCUGCCCAUGCCAACAAAGCCAUACCUUUUCAUAGUGCCACUCCCUAUGAGAUUAUGGCGACCAAUUACAUUCAGACUACCGCGCAGCAAUUCUGUCUCGAACCUCUCUUCUCCCUGAGGAGCUCUGGGAUUUUAGAUGUGCUUUUAAAGUUCUGGGCUUCCGAACUCAGGUCUCCAGGAUUGCCUAGUAGGCACUUUAACCAAGCUAUGUCCGAGACCCACUGUGUUCACUUCUGGAGGUUUUAAUCAGCAUUUCAGAGCCAGCAGUGCUUUUUAAAAUGCAGUGUUGUUCCCUGGCAGAAAGACCAGCACAGUGAUGGGAAGCCAGUCCGAGAAGAAUGUCCUUUGGUUCUUGCUUGAACUUCCCAGCAGCAAGGCCCUCUUGGAACUCCUCCUGCUUUUUCCAUAGUCUGCUCAUUAAUUAUUUACAGCAGCCAUAUUCUUUCCUGCUAGAGAUCACUUUCCUGAUGGACAGCAUCUGAGGCUCACUAUUCAAAAGUAUUUUAAAGGUUGUAUCGGGAAAAAAAUCAUUUUUUCUUUUUCUUCCUCUUUCAAUUUUUAAUAACCCUUAGAGUCUGCAGCUAAUAGCCUCCCUUAGAUCUUUCUUCUGUUGUUUCCCAUUUCAUAUUCCUGGUAUGGAGGUGCUGCGAAUUUUCAAUUGCACAUCCCUUUGAAGAAAGCCAUCUUUCAUUUCUCAGUGAGAAUAAAUAAAAGUGAAGUCACACCUAUUGGGUGAUGGUGGUUGUGAAUCUAAACACUGAGAAGGCAAGUUUUUAACACAAAAUGGGGGGAGGAGGAGGAGGCUUGAGCUGGACUAGGAAGGUGAGUAUGUUUUCCCUCACAUAUUAUCUACAUCUUUAUCUUUCCCUAACCAGCCUUAGUUGAGAACUGUACACUAUGAAGUACCAACGGUUCUAUCCCCAAGUCUCCUUGAACUAGGUGUUGGCAUCUCCUCUUCAUAUCGUGGGAUGUAAUCACCGUGCUGAACCCUAAACUGUUGCCCACUUCCUUCCACCCAGCUCUCCUCCUAGGUCUGUUUGCAUCCUGAACCACACCAGUGGCACCCAAUUUUAACUAGAAACUCUAACCCCCACCAUUCACGAACGAAUCUCACGGCGCUGCCUCCUCCUCAUCUCCUUUGUGUUCACUUUUAUCUCUGGUUGUACCCUUGGGCAUCUCCUACUAGGCUGUUGCAGUUGCCACUCUCCUGGUCUCCAACUGGCUCGUUCAUACUGGCUUUCAUUCUACUUUGUAAAUUGGAUCGUUCGGGUUAUUUGUUUGUUUUAGAGCUCAGAUUUGUAAAAACCAUUACGUGCACCAACAAGAUGGCUCAGGAGUAUAGGAGCUUUCGGCCUGGUCUGUCAACCCCCCGGGAACACACAUGAUGGGAUCUCUGUGGGAAGAAGGCGUGGGGAAGAAGGCUAAUCCAUUCAGGAGUGGAUGAAAUGACCACCUCAAAUGCCCUGUGAAGGAGAAACCUGGCAAAAGCCUCUCACAGCAUUCCUGGAAGCUCCAGGGUCUGGAACUUCAAGCACAGCAAAGAGAGUGUGGGUGACUCAUGUGGCUGGAUUGAGAUGCCUCACCGGCUGAGACAUUUCCCCAGACCCACAACGUGUUCUCUUCAGUAGAAACUUCCAGGAUCUAAUAAAAGUUGACUUAUUUGUGUAUACAUCGGUGGAAAUGAUCCAGUCAGAGUUGCGAAGACAGCUUAGUCAGUGAAGUUCUUGCCAGGCAAACAUGAGGACUUGAGUUCUCGUCCCCUGAACUCAUGGAAAAGGUCAGGUAUGAUGGCACACUCCUGGGAUUUAGCAUGUUGUGGAGGUAAAGACACGUAGGUCCUUGGAGCUCAUUUCUCAGACAAUUUAGCUAAAUCGUUAAGUUCCAGAUUCAGUGAGAGACCCUGUCUCAAAACAUAUGAUGAAGAGUGAUUGAGGGUAACUCCUGAUGUCAACUUCUGGGCUGUACAAACACACAUGUGCACAAAUGAACAUGUGUGUGCACACAUACUAUCUGAGCAAAGAUAGCUAUUGAUAAUUGAGUCAUGGAAAGAGGCAGGACACCCUCACUCCAGAUUUUGUGUGUUGAUAGUGUUAUUCAAUGGGCUGCAGAGAUCUCUGUUCUGUGAUUCCUCCUGGUCCCAAACAGCUCUCAAGCUCCAGGCUGCUAAUGCAUCCAGAAUCACUUGUUUCUAUAUAGACACAGGGCUACUCUUCGUAAAGGCUGCUCACCAUGCAACCCAAACCCAGGCACACAGCAGCCUGGUAGUAUUAUUAUAAACUCAGAUUCAAUCUCAUUGCCUUACAUGGAUUUCAGUGGAGUUAUACAGUUAAAUUAUUUAUCGAAUGGCCUUGUCUUUCAUUAUUUUAUUUUUUAAAUGCAGGGAUUCUAUGCUUUGAAAUCUGUACUCUGUUUAUCUACUCAGGAAUUUGUAUUUUAAAAAGUAGAAGCAAUUAGAUUUAAAAAAAUACUUAAGACAUGAAUGAGGUAGAAUCAUCCAAAUUUGAUCUGUGGGAAUCUGAGAAAUUCCCAGCUUUCUCAAGCCCAGAUCAAUUUGCACACAAAAGUAAAUGGCAUCUUUGUUUGUUUCAUGCAAGUGUGGAAAAUAAUGUAUCCUGUAUUUUAAAAGGCAGUUUGCUGACACAAAGAAUAUGAUGAGCCAGCAAACUAUUUAGAAAUGUUCUUGACUUUGCCCUAAAAAAUGUGUGUUCUUUCUCAGCCAAGAUGGCUUGGCACCAACUUUCCUCUCAAUGGUCGCUGCUGCCCCCUGCUGACAGCAAUGAUUCAGCAACGGACUUCCAAAUGAAGAAUGAAUGCUCUUCUAGAAGAUGAGAUAUUCAGGAAAUAAAAUAAAAUAAAAGUUUGUGAUUUCAUUAUGUUUUAAAACGUUUACAUAACCAAACAAGAUUAAAUUAACUCUCUGGUGAACAAUGCAUUUUACAGAAUGUUGGAUGUAGAUAUAAAGGAGGAUUGACAGAAGAAAGGAAACCAGCGCUGUGGAUGGAGGGGUUAGGCAGGCACUUGAUGCUGGAGGAAGGUGUUCAGUGACUGGAGAUGGGUCUUUCAAAGCUAAUAUCUCUCUGACCCUGGCUCCCUCAGAAUCACCGCUUGUGGGGCCUGAUCUAGAGCUCUUAAUGCUUAACAGAGGGUUUAUCGAGUAAAACGACCCUGGCUUGUACCAUUUUCUCAUUUCUGGAGUUCAAAUGGCAACUGUGCUUGUCAUGUGGAAUCACCAAAAUGGGUCAACCAUGGACGUGCUGCAGAUGCCAACUCGUUGCCUUUCCACCACGCUAGAGAUGCAUACAGCUUCAUGAGCAUGGGACCUAGCGACACGGUGAUUUCGUUGGGUAGCUGACAUCUGAAUAUUUAUUAUUUCUGCUGUGAUUUAUCUACUCGACAAUGCUUUUAAUUUAAUUUUCUUGGUGGUCACAUUUAACAACCAGUGAGUAAAACUCUCAGGAGUUUACUAGAAGGUUCUACAGACUGGGUAAGAGCUAGUUGGUGCACACUUCUGGCUCUUUCCAUGGGAUGUCUGGGUGAUGCAGGGAGACUGGUCAAAUAGGAACAGUAAAGAAAGUGCCCCCACAGCAUUGUGAAAAGGACCAGAUGAUUCGAGAGGGGUUCCCAUCUGUCUUCUGGAAGGAAUGGAAAGAUUUACUUAGAUCUGGGACAGGUCGGAAAGUUAGAAUGCUAAAGAUUGGAGAGCUAAUAACCAGGAAAACUGUCUAUGAAACCAGAGAGAGGGACAGUUAAAUAGUUUCUUUUUGAAACCCAGGUUACUUUUGUCCGAUUUCAUCCUAAUAGACAAUAAAGAAGGUUUAAAUGGUG